rnacentral:tRNA from 1 species
UUCCUGUAGUUAAAUUUUAUAACGAUGGUUUUUCAGGCCAUAGAUCUUGGGGAGGGUCCAGGCAGGAAC